rnacentral:rRNA from 1 species
GAUGAACGCUGGCGGCGUGCUUAAUACAUGCAAGUCGAACGAGGGACUUCUGUCUUCGGAUGGAGGUUUCCUAGUGGCGAACGGGUGAGUAACGCGUUGGUGACCUGCCCCGAAGUGGGGGAUAACAGUUCGAAAGGACUGCUAAUACCUCAUGUGAUCAGCUGGAUUAGAUGCCUAUUGAUUAAAGGCGAAAGCCGCUUUGGGAGGGGCCUGCGUCCCAUCAGCUAGUUGGUAGGGUAAUGGCCUACCAAGGCGAUGACGGGUAGGGGACCUGAGAGGGUGGCCCCCCACACUGGCACUGAAACACGGGCCAGACACCUACGGGUGGCAGCAGUAGGGAAUAUUGGACAAUGGGCGAAAGCCUGAUCCAGCAACGCCGCGUGCGCGAUGACGGCCUUCGGGUUGUAAAGCGCUUUUAGAGGAGAUGAGAAAGGACAGUAUCCUCAGAAUAAGCCUCGGCGAACUACGUG